UGUUCUGCACUGUAAGUAAUAUUCAACAUGUAACGCCAUACCUAGUGAAGUGGUGUGGCUCCGCUUUCCCUUUGACCAGGUCUUUUGGUUGGGGGGAUUUAGUAAGCGCCGCAUGGCGUGGACGAGCACCAUCUUGCAAGAACAUGAACCAACGUAUUGCUUAGCUUUAAAGGUGUUAUCGUUAAAAUGCUACUGCUUUCUACGAAUAAAGUCGUAGAUCACCAACGAUUUUGAAUGGACAUAUUUUACAACCAUCUUUGUUAAUCUGCCGAAUUCCUUAAUCUGUUCCUUUUACACGUUAUCAUUUCUUGGUACGCGUCAUCCUUGAGGCGUGCUAUUGUAUGUCGACCAUUGCCUAUUAAUUGCUCUACGGCUAGCAGACGUUAAAGAUUCCCAAGGCGUAAACAGAUCAACAUAGUAUCGAGUAAGAGAAAACGCUAAUUGACAGGCCCAGCUUCGGCCCAGACAGCUCAACCCAAACACCACGAGUCAAGUCCGCCCUAUCCCAGCGCGGCCGCGUGCCGUGCCAUGCCUUCCUGGCCUCCCAUCCAUCUGCUCCAGGAAGGCGCACCCUAUCUUUCGCACCCCACCCCUACUUGUUACCGCCCAACUACUCGCAUCAGCGGUGCGCUACGCCACAGUGCCACUCCGCAAGCUAUGGUCUUCCCGACGACGACCGAAUCGGAGCAGCAGCCACAGGGACAACACCACCACAAUUAC
rnacentral:lncRNA from 1 species